rnacentral:lncRNA from 10 species
CAGCCUCCUGAGUAGCUGGGACUAUAUACAUGUGUCACCAUGCUUGGUUAAUUAAAAAAAAAUUUUUAUAGAGGUUUGGGGGGUCUCACUGUGUUGCCCAGGCUGGUCUUGAACUCCUGGUUUCAAGCAGUUCUCCCACCUCAGUCUCCCAAAGGUCUGGGACUACAGGUGCCAUCAUGUCUGGCCUUUGUUGAAUUUUGAUGGCAGUCCCCAGGACAAGGAAGAUUAAAUGAACCACCACAAAUGAAGUGCUUAGAAGAAAACAUGGCACAUGAGGAGGCAGAUGUGAGCAGGUGCUGCUAGUGGACAUGAUUCCUACCCCUUGACAAAGCAGAUUGAAGAAACCAAAGCCAACAGCAGAGAGGAGCAGCAAGAUGAGGUGAAGGAAGGCCUGACUAGUUGAGGCUCCCAGGCCUCCAGAGAUGCUUCUGUCCCUGCGUUCCCAAGCUUCAAGGUUGAAGGCUACCUGGCUUCCUUCCAACAUAUCAUUUUGCAAAGUCUAGUUUGAGUUUUGCUACUUGCAUCCAAAAGAAUUUGGACUCCUGCCUAUAAUGUGUGGAAACUGGGAACAGCAAAUCUAGGGUGUUUUGUAAGCCACAUGACCCUCCACUUGCAGGACUGAAUCAGUUCCAAGUAUGGCAAGCCAGAGGGAGGAGAGAAAGCCUUGUCUCCAGGGGCCCUCUUCUUAGGUGCCCUGAUAACAUCUGUAAAUGCAAUGUGAAGGCUGUCCGGGAUCUUUGAGAAACCUUCAGGAAUAAGUUAGGGAUAACUGAAGAUCCAAGAAGACAAAAUAAAGGACCACAGCAGUGCAGUCACUGGGCCUUUCACCUCUGGUCCCUUAGUUUCAGGUUUCUCUAGCAUCAGCCUCAGCACUUCCUGUGCACCAAGCACUGUUCCAAGUUCUUUAUGAGCCCAAAGAGACUGAUAUUGUAUUUUACCUCAUAUUAUAGACAAGGAAAUUGAGGCACAAACAAGGAAACUGAGACACACGGGGAUUAAGUAAAUUAUCCAAGGUGGGGUCAAAUUUACAUCUCAGGUAGUUCGACUCCAAAACCCGUGCUAAUAACCCUGUUUAGCAAGCCUGGCCUCGUAGGCUGUUUUAUUUUUCUAUUUUUAUUAUUGGCAUUUAUUGCCAAUAUAUUUAGUAUGUGGUUGAUACUACCACAUACUUUAUUUACCUUUUUGUUUGUUUUAUAUUCUCAACCUGAGACCAGGAAUCCAGUGGCCAUGACUUUUAUCUUUUAGUGACCCUAGCCCCAGCACGAAUGCUCAACACAAAGGUAGUAAGUGUUCGUGACAUCAAUUCUGUGCUCUUAAAAAACAGACAGCUCUAUACAUGAAUACAGUAACCCUCAUACAGCUUUUAGGGGAGAAGAAAUGAAGAAGACAUUGGUUUUCUCCCUUCCUUUCAGGUUUAUUCUUAAUAUUCCCAAAACAAACUAUGAAGAAUUUUCAUAACAACAGCUCUGCUCUUCCCUCCACCUCCCUUCUCUGUUUGUAGAAUGUUUUUCUACAAAGAAUGCUCAAUUUUAAAAGUAGCAUUGUUCUACAGUCAGCCUUCUCAGAAUCCAAUUAGGUAGGGCCUGCCUGGUCGGGGACAUACUAUGGAUAAUUUCACUGUAUGGCCUUCUGUUUAUUUGCACUUUGGGAUCGGAAAAUAAGCAGCUAAAAGAUGUUUGCCCUUGAAAACAUGUUAGAGAAUUAACGGCUGGCUUGAGAUGUUAUCUGCCAAGUUUCAGUCCCAAACACAUUUUAUACCUGAGUUAAGUCUCUGAAAACAGGGAUUUGGUAAUUGAAGCGCUGACCUGAUGUUAUCUCUGAGAAUAUGCAGACAGGCCCAGUUCUUGGAGCAAAGAAAACUUACAGAGUACAGAGAAAGUACAGAGCACAAAAAUACUGGAGAAUUUUAAGAAGCAUUCAUUUAGGGAUAUCUCGUGUACACACCCUCAGUUGUAUGAAGUAGUUGUGUGGACUAGUUUCCAUUUUUUAUCCUUCUCUGGGCUGGUACUUCUUUUAAAAUCUUAAUCUGAAAAUUAUACCAUUCAAAAUAAAAUUCAGAAAUCUAUUCACCAA